GAUAAAUAGCCUACUAAAAGAACUCUAAUAUUGUAAGAAACCAAUGCUGAUAUACAAGUGUAUAAACAUCUAAAUAGCUGAAUCUAUGGAACUGCAUAUAGAGAGGAGGGAAAAAAAAAAAAAAAAAAAAAAAAAGAUAAGAGACCAA